rnacentral:rRNA from 1 species
UACAGAGGUCCCAAGCGUUGUUCGGAUUCAUUGGGCGUAAAGGGUGUGUAGGUGGCGCUGUAAGGCGGGUGUGAAAUUUCGGAGCUUAACUCCGAAACUGCAUUCGAUACUGCGGUGCUUGAGGACUGGAGAGGAGACUGGAAUUCAUGGUGUAGCAGUGAAAUGCGUAGAGAUCAUGAGGAAGACCAGUGGCGAAGGCGGGUCUCUGGACAGUUCCUGACACUGAGGCACGAAGGCCAGGGGAGCAAACGGG